rnacentral:rRNA from 1 species
UACGUAGGGGGCAAGCGUUGUCCGGAUUUAUUGGGCGUAAAGCGCGUGUAGGCGGCCUGUUAGGUCCGUUGUGAAAACUCGAGGCUCAACCUCGAGACGCCGAUGGAAACCGUCUGGCUAGAGUCCGGAAGAGGAGAGUGGAAUUCCUGGUGUAGCGGUGAAAUGCGCAGAUAUCAGGAAGAACACCCGUGGCUAAGGCGGCUCUCUAGUACGGUACUGACGCUGAGACGCGAAAGCGUGGGGAGCGAACAGG